rnacentral:rRNA from 1 species
UACGAAGGGGGCUAGCGUUGUUCGGAAUUACUGGGCGUAAAGCGCACGUAGGCGGACUAUUAAGUCAGGGGUGAAAUCCCGGGGCUCAACCCCGGAACUGCCUUUGAUACUGGCAAUCUCGAGUCCGGAAGAGGUUGGUGGAACAGCUAGUGUAGAGGUGAAAUUCGUAGAUAUUAGCUAGAACACCAGUGGCGAAGGCGGCCAACUGGUCCGGUACUGACGCUGAGGUGCGAAAGCGUGGGGAGCAAACAGG